UGCUGGAGGUAUCAGAAGUGCGAAUGCUGACAUAAGUAACGAUAAAGCGGGUGAAAAGCCCGCUCGCCGGAAGACCAAGGGUUCCUGUCCAACGUUAAUCGGGGCAGGGUGAGUCGACCCCUAAGGCGAGGCCGAAAGGCGUAGUCGAUGGGAAACAGGUUAAUAUUCCUGUACUUGGUGUUACUGCGAAGGGGGGACGGAGAAGGCUAUGUUGGCCGGGCGACGGUUGUCCCGGUUUAAGCGUGUAGGCUGGUUUUCCAGGCAAAUCCGGAAAACCAAGGCUGAGGCGUGAUGACGAGGCACUACGGUGCUGAAGCGACAAAUGCCCUGCUUCCAGGAAAAGCCUCUAAGCAUCAGGUAACAUCAAAUCGUACCCCAAACCGACACAGGUGGUCAGGUAGAGAAUACCAAGGCGCUUGAGAGAACUCGGGUGAAGGAACUAGGCAAAAUGGUGCCGUAACUUCGGGAGAAGGCACGCUGAUAUGUAGGUGAAGCGACUUGCUCGUGGAGCUGAAAUCAGUCGAAGAUACCAGCUGGCUGCAACUGUUUAUUAAAAACACAGCACUGUGCAAACACGAAAGUGGACGUAUACGGUGUGACGCCUGCCCGGUGCCGGAAGGUUAAUUGAUGGGGUUAGCGGUAACGCGAAGCUCUUGAUCGAAGCCCCGGUAAACGGCGGCCGUAACUAUAACGGUCCUAAGGUAGCGAAAUUCCUUGUCGGGUAAGUUCCGACCUGCACGAAUGGCGUAAUGAUGGCCAGGCUGUCUCCACCCGAGACUCAGUGAAAUUGAACUCGCUGUGAAGAUGCAGUGUACCCGCGGCAAGACGGAAAGACCCCGUGAACCUUUACUAUAGCUUGACACUGAACAUUGAGCCUUGAUGUGUAGGAUAGGUGGGAGGCUUUGAAGUGUGGACGCCAGUCUGCAUGGAGCCGACCUUGAAAUACCACCCUUUAAUGUUUGAUGUUCUAACGUUGGCCCGUAAUCCGGGUUGCGGACAGUGUCUGGUGGGUAGUUUGACUGGGGCGGUCUCCUCCUAAAGAGUAACGGAGGAGCACGAAGGUUGGCUAAUCCUGGUCGGACAUCAGGAGGUUAGUGCAAUGGCAUAAGCCAGCUUGACUGCGAGCGUGACGGCGCGAGCAGGUGCGAAAGCAGGUCAUAGUGAUCCGGUGGUUCUGAAUGGAAGGGCCAUCGCUCAACGGAUAAAAGGUACUCCGGGGAUAACAGGCUGAUACCGCCCAAGAGUUCAUAUCGACGGCGGUGUUUGGCACCUCGAUGUCGGCUCAUCACAUCCUGGGGCUGAAGUAGGUCCCAAGGGUAUGGCUGUUCGCCAUUUAAAGUGGUACGCGAGCUGGGUUUAGAACGUCGUGAGACAGUUCGGUCCCUAUCUGCCGUGGGCGCUGGAGAACUGAGGGGGGCUGCUCCUAGUACGAGAGGACCGGAGUGGACGCAUCACUGGUGUUCGGGUUGUCAUGCCAAUGGCACUGCCCGGUAGCUAAAUGCGGAAGAGAUAAGUGCUGAAAGCAUCUAAGCACGAAACUUGCCCCGAGAUGAGUUCU
rnacentral:rRNA from 1 species